rnacentral:rRNA from 1 species
CGGACGGGUGAGUAACACGUGGAUAACCUACCUAUAAGACUGGGAUAACUUCGGGAAACCGGAGCUAAUACCGGAUAAUAUAUUGAACCGCAUGGUUCAAUAGUGAAAGACGGUUUUGCUGUCACUUAUAGAUGGAUCCGCGCCGCAUUAGCUAGUUGGUAAGGUAACGGCUUACCAAGGCAACGAUGCGUAGCCGACCUGAGAGGGUGAUCGACCACACUGGAACUGAGACACGGUCCAG